rnacentral:rRNA from 1 species
AUGGCUGCCAUGGCCACCGCCCUCUCCGCCUCCCUCCCGCACCUCCCGCCCCGCCGCCUCCCCUCGUCUCCCGCCGCCGCGGUAUCCCUCGCCCCCCGCGGCAUCCGGCGUCGAGAGGCUCCUCCUCGCCUCGCGGCCGUCGCCUCGGCCUCCGAGGUCCUCGACUCCACCAACGGCGCCGUUCCCGCGCCCACGAGCCCCGCGCCGUCGGGGCAGCAGCAGUACGGCCGGGAGUACUUCCCGCUGGCCGCCGUCGUCGGGCAGGAUGCAAUUAAAACUUCUCUGCUGCUUGGGGCGAUUGACCGUGAGGUUGGAGGCAUUGCCAUCUCCGGGAAGCGUGGGACGGCAAAGACGGUGAUGGCCCGCGGCUUGCACGCUAUGCUUCCGCCAAUCGAAGUGGUUGUUGGCUCAAUCGCAAACGCUGACCCCAACAUUCCAGAAGAAUGGGAGGACCAUUUGGCUGACCAAGUGCAAUAUGAUGCUGAUGGUAAUGUCAAAUCUGAGAUUGUCAAAGCACCUUUUGUGCAGAUUCCACUUGGUGUCACAGAGGACAGGCUCAUUGGGUCUGUUGAUGUUGAACAAUCAGUGAGAUCAGGGACUACUGUGUUUCAACCUGGUCUUCUUGCUGAAGCUCACAGAGGUGUCCUUUAUGUUGAUGAGAUAAAUCUAUUGGACGACGGCAUAAGCAAUCUGCUUCUGAAUGUCUUGACGGAAGGAGUUAAUAUUGUGGAAAGAGAGGGAAUUAGCUUCCGUCAUCCAUGCAAACCACUUCUAAUUGCUACGUACAACCCGGAGGAAGGAUCCGUACGUGAACACUUACUUGAUCGUAUUGCAAUUAAUUUAAGUGCUGACCUUCCAUUAAGUUUUGAUGACCGCGUGGCAGCCGUCAAUAUUGCAACCCAAUUUCAGGAGUCUAGCAAAGAUGUUUUUAAGAUGGUGGAAGAGGAAACUGAGGUCGCAAAAACUCAGAUAAUUUUGGCAAGAGAAUAUCUGAAGGAUGUUGCUAUCAGCACAGAGCAGCUCAAAUAUCUUGUCAUGGAAGCUAUACGGGGUGGUUGUCAGGGGCACCGGGCUGAGCUGUAUGCUGCUCGAGUGGCAAAAUGUCUUGCUGCUAUGGAAGGACGUGAAAAAGUUUUCGCGGAGGACCUUAAGAAAGCUGUAGAGCUAGUUAUUCUACCUCGUUCGAUCAUAUCUGAUAACCCACAAGAGCAGCAAAACCAACCGCCUCCACCCCCACCUCCACCGCCUCCACAAAAUCAAGAUAACGCAGAAGAUCAAGAUGAGAAGGAAGAAGAUGAGGAGAAGGAUGAGGAGGAAAAGGAGGAUGAUGAUGAAGAAAACGAAAAACAAGAUGACCAGAUACCCGAGGAGUUCAUUUUUGAUGCUGAAGGUGGACUAGUAGAUGAUAAGCUCCUUUUCUUUGCUCAGCAAGCACAAAGAAAAAAAGGAAAGGCUGGACGAGCAAAAAAUGUCAUAUUCUCAGAAGACAGGGGCCGAUACAUAAAGCCUAUGCUUCCAAAGGGUCCAGUCAGGAGGUUAGCUGUUGACGCGACACUUCGAGCAGCUGCACCAUACCAAAAACUGCGGAGAGAGAAAAGUCUUGACAAGACAAGAAAAGUUUUUGUUGAAAAGACUGACAUGAGAGCCAAGAGAAUGGCUCGAAAAGCCGGUGCUCUGGUCAUAUUUGUUGUGGAUGCUAGUGGCAGCAUGGCUCUGAACCGCAUGCAGAAUGCCAAAGGUGCAGCAUUGAAGUUGCUUGCAGAAAGUUACACAAGCAGAGAUCAGGUUGCAAUUAUUCCCUUCCGUGGAGACUAUGCUGAGGUUCUGCUUCCACCAUCAAGAUCCAUUGCAAUGGCUCGCAAGCGUCUUGAAAAGCUACCAUGUGGUGGCGGUUCUCCUUUAGCUCAUGGCCUGAGUACAGCUGUCAGAGUGGGAUUGAACGCUGAAAAGAGUGGCGACGUUGGGCGUAUCAUGAUCGUUGCAAUCACCGAUGGAAGAGCUAAUGUAUCACUGAAGAAAUCCAAUGACCCAGAAGCUGCCGCUGCUUCAGACGCACCAAGACCAUCUACUCAAGAAUUGAAGGAUGAGAUACUUGAUGUGUCUGCAAAAAUAUUCAAGGCAGGAAUGUCGCUUCUCGUCAUCGAUACCGAGAACAAGUUUGUAUCUACGGGAUUCGCCAAGGAAAUCGCAAGGGUUGCCCAAGGGAAAUACUACUACCUGCCAAACGCUUCGGACGCCGUGAUUUCGGCCGCCACCAAGACCGCGCUGGCGGAUUUGAAGAGCUAG